CCGGAAGUGUGUUAGCGUAACUCCGCUAGCUCCACGGUAGCAGUGGGGGGUUGGCUAGAUCCCCGGUGGAGAGCAGAAAAGCCCCGGCGCCGCCUUCAUCCCGCCCCGCAGAAGCACCACCGUCUCCUCGAUGACUGACAGCCGCGUUUGGUGUCGGGGAUCCGGACAAGUUUCCGCUCCGACUCCUCCUCGACCUCCCAACCCGCUCACCUUGCUUCCAACUCGAAGGCUCCGCUUGCUUCACAUCGCCUGCGGGUAAAAUCCCCUCUCAUUCCUGGAGUGUUGGCGGCGAGUAUCCAUGGUCCCGUACCAGGAAGUCCGGAGCACUUCUGAAAGUCGGUGUGUGGGGGGGAAGGAUCCAGGAUCCCAGCCAGGUAGCAGAAAGCGCCGCCCGCCGGGCUGGUCUGAUCCCAGCGGCUGGAGCUGCUGCAGUCCCACCUGCUGAAACCUCCACACCUGCUCAGCUCAACUAAAAACCUUCUCAUCCCUCCCAAUAAAACACUAAAGUCUCCA